CAAGGUUCCAGAAGACCAAGAGGUUGCACUGUCUUCCUUAUGCUUUUCCUUGUAUUUUAAUGAGGGCCAGAAGCUCACAUCUAUCUCUGUAGUUGUAUUUCCCUUGCUGUGGAAAGAGUCUUCUGACUCUUCAUCUAAACAGGGCAGAAGGGAUAUCAGUCCUCUCUUCUUCAGCUGCACAUCAGAAACCUCAGUCCCAAUUGAGUCAGUUUGUGCAAAUACAGAGGCUGUGGGCUCAUCUCCUGGUUCAGGUGCUUCUUCCUGUAAGCGCUGGUGAAGCUCAGACAUUGAAUUCUUCAUCCCGGUAAGGAUAUCUUCCUUUCUUUGGCACAGCUUGAUGAUUUCUUCUUUUAUAGCUUCCAUCUCUCCCUCUGGACAAGAAGUCUUCUGAGUCUGUGGCUGAUAUUCAUGUGAUUUUUCAGCCAAGUGAUUCUUUAGGAAUUGUUUCAGCUUUUCAAUUUCUUGCUCACAUUCUUCUGUUUCCUUCACAGCUUCCUCCAGCAGUUCAUUUUGUUCCUUAGUAAUUUUUUCUAUUUUUUUCAAUUCUCUCAAAAGUUGUCUUGCUCUUAGGAAGACUGAGACAGGUUGUUUUUUCGCCCCCGGUAGCUGAAGGACUUCUUCAUAGGACUGUAUGUGAACAAUGGUCUUCUGCAUAGGACCAAUAUGGUCAAGUAUAACCUGUCCAUGUUUAAGUUGGUCCUUAGGAGAAAGUUCCAACAGAUCUUCUGAUGAUAAGAUUGUCUUCAUUUUCAUAACAUCCUUCUCAAACAUUUUUACAUGAGAUUCAAUGGCAUCCAGUUCAUCAGUCACAUGCUGGAUCUGUGGAAGAAUGUCUGCUAUCUCUUGCUGUAACAUUGCUACUUCCUCCUCUGC
rnacentral:lncRNA from 1 species